AGAUAUGGUUUCUACCGUUUG
rnacentral:snRNA from 1 species